rnacentral:rRNA from 1 species
UACGUAGGUGGCAAGCGUUGUUCGGAAUUAUUGGGCGUAAAGGGCGCGUAGGCGGCCGGUUAAGUCAGCUGUGAAAGCCCGGGGCUCAACCCCGGAGGGUCGGCUGAUACUGAUCGACUAGAGUACGGAAGAGGUAGCUGGAAUUCCCGGUGUAGCGGUGAAAUGCGUAGAUGUCGGGAGGAACACCUGAGGCGAAGGCGGGCUACUGGGCCGAUACUGACGCUGAGGCGCGGAAGCCAGGGGAGCGAACGGG